CGCGCCGACCCGCUCAAUCGUGAUCACACGAACCGGGGAACCACUGCACCACUUGGGGUGAAUCCGUGAGCCACGGCUCGCGGUAGGGCGAUCUUCCCGCCCGAAUCCGUCAGCUAACCCGGUCGGCGGUGUCGGAAGGAGUU
rnacentral:sRNA from 2 species